rnacentral:lncRNA from 1 species
AAAUACGAGUGGUAAGUGUUAAUUUUUAUUUUUUUUCUUUGUGAGUGAACUUGUGAGGUUUGUGGUGAGGUUUCUUUUCAUAACAUAAUGUUGAGAAGUCCUGAAAGACAUACGGCGGGUGGCGGUGCAUCCAGGGGUGGUUGCAUGCAGCCAAGAAGGAACAUGGCUGGAGAAGGAGUCCUUAACCUCCAAGUCCAAGCCAUCAUAUGAGAAAUAUCCCGCUUGUUCCAACCGCAAUUUGAUUCCAUCCAAUAACGCAUGGA